AUUGAACGCUGGCGGCAGGCUUAACACAUGCAAGUCGAGCGGGGGAGGUUGCUUCGGUAACUGACCUAGCGGCGGACGGGUGAGUAAUGCUUAGGAAUCUGCCUAUUAGUGGGGGACAACAUUCCGAAAGGGAUGCUAAUACCGCAUACGCCCUACGGGGGAAAGCAGGGGAUCUUCGGACCUUGCGCUAAUAGAUGAGCCUAAGUCGGAUUAGCUAGUUGGUGGGGUAAAGGCCUACCAAGGCGACGAUCUGUAGCGGGUCUGAGAGGAUGGUCCGCCACACUGGGACUGAGACACGGCCCAGACUCCUACGGGAGGCAGCAGUGGGGAAUAUUGGACAAUGGGCGGAAGCCUGAUCCAGCCAUGCCGCGUGUGUGAAGAAUGCCUUUUGGUUGUAAAGCACUUUAAGCGAGGAGGAGGCUCUUAAGGUUAAUACCCUUGAUGAGUGGACGUUACUCGCAGAAUAAGCACCGGCUAACUCUGUGCCAGCCGCCGCCGUAAAAC
rnacentral:rRNA from 1 species